GACGAACGCUGGCGGCGUGCUUAACACAUGCAAGUCGAACGGAAAGGCCCUGCUUUUGUGGGGUGCUCGAGUGGCGAACGGGUGAGUAACACGUGAGUAACCUGCCCUUGACUUUGGGAUAACUUCAGGAAACUGGGGCUAAUACCGGAUAGGAGCUCCUGCUGCAUGGUGGGGGAUGGAAAGUUUCGGCGGUUGGGGAUGGACUCGCGGCUAAUGGGCUUGUUGGUGGGGUAGUGGCUUACCAAGGCUUUGACGGGUCGCCGGCCUGAGAGGGGAGCCGGGCACAAGACUACUGAGGGACGCCCCAGACUCGAACGGUAGGCAACGGGGGAGAGGAUGACACAGCAGGCGGGAGCGAGUUAUGAAGGCCCCCCGUUCGGAAAGCCGUGUUGUGGGUGAGGAACAGCUUUCGCCUCUUCCGAGGCGAUAGUGACGGUAACUGAUAAGAAAGCACCGGCUAACUACGUG
rnacentral:rRNA from 1 species